rnacentral:tRNA from 1 species
GAGCCCAUAGCUCAGCGGUAGAGCGUUCGGUUCACAUCCGAAAGGUCGAUGGUUCGAAUCCAUCUGGACUCA